GAUAUCUGUUAUCUAAUAUAAUGUUAUCUGAGCACGAGGGAGCUGAGCAGGGAGAGCUUAAACGCGCUCCCUUACAGCCUGUCCGCCCCCCCUGCCUGCACAGCAGCCCCACUAGACCUCAGGUAAGAUACCAACCCAGUCUGUGUGUAUGGCUGUGUGUGUGUAUGGCUGUGUGUGUGUGUGUGUGUAUGGCUGUGUAUGUGUAUGGCUGUCUUUAUGUAUAGAUGUAUGGCUGUGUAUGUGCAUGGCUCUCUUUAUGUAUGGCUG